UAGGGAAUCUUCCGCAAUGGGCGAAAGCCUGACGGAGCAACGCCGCGUGAGUGAUGAAGGUUUUCGGAUCGUAAAGCUCUGUUGCCAGGGAAGAACGUCCUGUAGAGUAACUGCUACAAGAGUGACGGUACCUGAGAAGAAAGCCCCGGCUAACUACGUG
rnacentral:rRNA from 1 species